CUUAAUCUUCUAGCUAGGCAAAAUACCAAGAUGUGAUCAGCCAUAUACCAGAAUAGGCUAGCCCUUGAUUACUUACUAGCAGUAGAAGGAGGUGUAUGCGGAAAGUUUAAUCUAAGUAACUGUUGUCUGCACAUAGAUGAUGAAGGGCAGGCAGUGGCUGAACUUACAAGCCACAUGGUUAAAUUUGAGCAUGUACCUACUCAGGUCUGGAAUGGGUAUAACCUAAGUAGUUGGUUUGGAAGUUGGUAUGGGCAGCUUGGAGGAAUUAAGACAUUAGUAGGAGGAGUAGUGUUUAUCAUAUUCUUAUGUCUUUUCCUGCCCUGUCUAAUUCCACUAGUUGUAAGGUCCCUACGUAGCAUUAUAGA